UAACAUUUGAAAUGUAAAUAAAUAGAAGAAGAAAGAGAUGAAGGAGAAGAAGAGGAGGAGGAGGAGCAGGAGGAGAAGGAGGAGAAACAGAUUUUGCCUCUUCCUCCCUUUGUGUAGUGCUCACCUAUAAAUUAAUAUUGUGAUUUUUAAGUACAGCUUUGCAAGGUACAAGGAUUUUGGCUGAGAAUCUACCAAUGGGUCUAACACACAAUGAUUGAUCACAGGCAAUGAACUUAGGCUGGCUUCACAAGACUUUGUAGCCAGAUGAUUAGGCCAUAAACGACUAACUGCUGAGGCUAUAACCAGCUGACUGGUUGGUUGACUAGGCUGUAGCACGUUAGAUUCCGCUUUAGAUAGCGCUUGCUCCCGCUUUCCGAUUGAUGCUCUCUGAUUGUGUUGCUGGGCCUCUCGCGACUGUUCCGGGAGCUGCCCAAUGAAUGUGUUCUACCCAGAUUCAUCUAUGUGUGAUUGGUUCAAGCACCUUUAACAGUCUUGAGGAAGUCAGCGGAUUUAAGGUAGAAUCGACAGACCCUGGAAGUGCAAGGUCUUCAUGCUUGAGUACUGUGGCCACUGAGUCCUUGCUCUCUAUCUGGGAGUCAAAAGUCUGUCAUCUCUCAGCUGCCGAAGCUCCAUGGAUUUCGCUUUGUGUUCUCUGAGCUUGGUUGAGCAAACUUUGAAAAAAAAAUCAAAACUGGAGUUGUACGUCAUAACUAAAAACUAGAUCGGGUCUUCUUGAAAAGGUAGAUUCUGAACUGGAUUCAGCUGGAACAGGAACAGGCUCUGUGGAGAGAGCUGGAGAGUCUCAUUGAGAGCUAAGAAAAGGAAACUGAACUGAGUUUCCUAGGUAUCUGGCUGCUCAUGUAAAACAUUCUGCUAACACCAGGAAAAGAUGACAAAUGGAAUACACACAGCUCCUCUGUCACCAAGUGCCACAGAAGAAAUGUGUUUAUAUACACUUUAAGCAACAGAAUACAGGAAAUUAGUAAUUACAUCAAGUGCUGAGAGAAAAGAGGGUUGUCCAUUAUUAGUAUCUGCAAACUGAUGAAUGGAUGAACUAAAUUCACAAAUUUCUUUCUUCUGCUCCUUAUUUAAUAUGUAUGCAUUGUGCUGGCCUCAGUUUAGUGGAUGACAAUGAAUGGUCUCUGAUGAUGGUAUCAUAUAGUAGAGAAAAGUGGUCCUUAGGUCUCUUUGUAGUCACGAAAACAAUUAUUUUAUGAGGAAAUGUUUCUAGACUUUCAAAUGGUGUGUAUAUGAAAAAUGCUGAUACCAAAUAUUCUCAACUGUUUCAUAAGUUUUCAGUGCAAAUGAGUUUUACUAAGAGUAAAAUGUUAAUAAAUGGUUAUUGAUUUCUUCAGUUGUAUUUCAACUAAUGAUUGAUCUGAAGAAUUUUUUUAAAUCACUGCUCAUUGCCUCAAUAACCCAUGGUUCCUUUGGUCUCUGUAUCCUUGUGUAUUUUUUAAAAAAUGUCUCUUGCUAUUGAUAUUAGUUACAUUCUUCAAUCAGAAAUGAUGUAUGAUAUUAUUUCAAAUGGUAAACAUGUUACAAUGUAUUUUUGGCUUGA